UGCCCUUGCUCGGAAUGUUUUGACGUUAAAGAUGACGAACCUUAAAAGCCCCAAGGGACUGCCAACCUAGGGUUGUGCGAUUGUUUAAGGUUGUCAACUUGGGACAACUUUGGAUACUCAGAAAUUAGAUGACUAGAUAACUGAUGCUGUUGUUAUUACCGAACGCUUUCUUUUAAUCUAAAGCAUGUACCGUGGAACUCAUGAUACUACAAAACGUAAAAGUGUAUACGAAAAAAGUUUUGUGGUAUCGGAUACGAUUUCAGACCGGCAGAUCAACGAACGGUGUCUAUAAGUCAAGUAUGGUAACUGAUCUACUCCCGCCGCGUGCCUUGUACGGUCUAGGGAUGCGGCAGACAUCUGCAUCCGCAACUGCAACCGCGGAUCAUACGCAUAUUUUUAAGUAUCUGCUUCCGCAUUCGACAUCCGAAUCAAUCGAUGCUGAGAUUUUGCGGAUGCGGAAGUUUUGCAGGUUACGAUAAGAUCCCAAAGCUUCAGUCCCUACUCAAAUCGCGUGCCGAGUACCAGUGCUAAUUAGCCCACCAGGGAUCGAGAAUUUGUCAGCGUGUAGUGUAUAGUUUACUUUUUAAACAGAAAUUGUUGAGUUGAAAAUGAGUUUACAUUUUCAAGAUAGCCCAGCUCUAUUGUACGAAGGACGGCCUAUAACAUCUUUAAAAACUUUAAGUUUUAACAAUCAAUGUCAUAAUAUUUCUAAGCCUUCUGCUUUUCAUGUGCUUUGUAAUUAAAUUACCUGGAAUUAUUAUUUUUCAUUUAAAUUCAUGAUAAUUCAACGAUCACCAA